UGAAAGAUGAAAUGAGUAAAUAAUUGGCUGCAGAUUCAAUAAGUCUUUGGUACGUAAGGGAAGAAAACAGGCUGUGGACCCAACCGUGGAACCAGAACCAAAUCCUACAGGAUUCCCAAAAGAAAUCGGUUUCCAGAUAAAAGUCAGCUGCCACGUUGUGGGGACUCUCAAGUGGAACUGUGGAAAGGCCAGGAGGAAAGGAACCAGCUUGCUAGACAUGGACGACCCGCCUUGAAAGUAAAUCCUCCAGUACCAUCAAACCUCCAGAUGAAUGCAGACCCAGCAACUUUGUGAGAGACCUCAAGCAUGACCUGCCCAACCAAGAUGGUCCUGAAUUCCUGACCCAUCAAAACCACAAGAGAUAAUAAAGAAUUAUCAUGUUAAGCCUCUAA